AGCUUGCUUCUCUGAUGUUAGCGGCGGACGGGUGAGUAACACGUGGAUAACCUACCUAUAAGACUGGGAUAACUUCGGGAAACCGGAGCUAAUACCGGAUAAUAUUUUGAACCGCAUGGUUCAAAAGUGAAAGACGGUCUUGCUGUCACUUAUAGAUGGAUCCGCGCUGCAUUAGCUAGUUGGUAAGGUAACGGCUUACCAAGGCAACGAUGCAUAGCCGACCUGAGAGGGUGAUCGGCCACACUGGAACUGAGACACGGUCCAGACUCCUACGGGAGGCAGCAGUAGGGAAUCUUCCGCAAUGGGCGAAAGCCUGACGGAGCAACGCCGCGUGAGUGAUGAAGGUCUUCGGAUCGUAAAACUCUGUUAUUAGGGAAGAACAUAUGUGUAAGUAACUGUGCACAUCUUGACGGUACCUAAUCAGAAAGCCACGGCUAACUACGUGCCAGCAGCCGCGGUAAUACGUAGGUGGCAAGCGUUAUCCGGAAUUAUUGGGCGUAAAGCGCGCGUAGGCGGUUUUUUAAGUCUGAUGUGAAAGCCCACGGCUCAACCGUGGAGGGUCAUUGGAAACUGGAAAACUUGAGUGCAGAAGAGGAAAGUGGAAUUCCAUGUGUAGCGGUGAAAUGCGCAGAGAUAUGGAGGAACACCAGUGGCGAAGGCGACUUUCUGGUCUGUAACUGACGCUGAUGUGCGAAAGCGUGGGGAUCAAACAGGAUUAGAUACCCUGGUAGUCCACGCCGUAAACGAUGAGUGCUAAGUGUUAGGGGGGUUUCCGCCCCUUAGUGCUGCAGCUAACGCAUUA
rnacentral:rRNA from 1 species